AUAAAUGCUUCGGUGCAUGUGGUUUAACAAUAGUCUGUAGGCGCAUCAACAUUCGAUUUUCAAAGAGAGUUGUAUUGUUAGCGGCUAAUACAAAAUGGAACUUCACAGAUUGGGUUUGCUUUUUUUGUUGGCAAUCGAGUCUCUAGGAUCUUUACACGAUCAUGUGAAAGGUCAUUUUUUUUCAAGAAAAAAUUGGGUUGUUUUAGUGGCCGGUUCAGAAGGCUGGGAAAGUUAUAGGCAUCAAGCGGAUGUAGCACAUGCUUACCAAGUCGUUAGAAGAAAUGGAAUUCCUCAGGAAAAUAUCAUCGUGAUGAUGGCCAAUGAUGUUGUAAAUCACACUAG